UACGUAGGGUGCAAGCGUUAAUCGGAAUUACUGGGCGUAAAGCGUGCGCAGGCGGUUGUGCAAGACCGAUGUGAAAUCCCCGGGCUUAACCUGGGAACUGCAUUUGUGACUGCACGGCUAGAGUGCGGCAGAGGGGGAUGGAAUUCCGCGUGUAGCAGUGAAAUGCGUAGAUAUGCGGAGGAACACCGAUGGCGAAGGCAAUCCCCUGGGCCUGCACUGACGCUCAUGCACGAAAGCGUGGGGAGCAAACAGG
rnacentral:rRNA from 1 species